GAGGGUACAGCUCAAGUGGUAGAGUGCUUGCUUAGCAUGCAUGAGGUCCUGGGUUUAAUUCCCAGUACCUCCU
rnacentral:tRNA from 1 species